rnacentral:rRNA from 1 species
AGCAGCCGCGGUAAUUCCAGCUCCAAUAGCGUAUAUUAAAGUUGUUGCAGUUAAAAAGCUCGUAGUUGAAUUUCGGGAUCAAUGCGUCGGUCGUGCUUUCGGGUACGUACUGGUGUCAUUGGUUUCUCCUUUCUGACGAGCCGUGAUGUCAUUAAUUUGGUGUUACGGGUAGUUAGGACUGUUACUUUGAAAAAAUUAGAGUGUUUAAAGCAGGCAUUCGCUUGAAUACAUUAGCAUGGAAUAAUGAAAUAGGACGUUCGACCCUAUUUUGUUGGUUUCUAGGAUCAACGUAAUGAUUAAUAGGGAUAGUUGGGGGCAUUAGUAUUCAAUUGUCAGAGGUGAAAUUCUUGGAUUUAUUGAAGACUAACUACUGCGAAAGCAUUUGCCAAGGAUGUUUUCAUUAAUCAAGAACGAAAGUUAGGGAUCGAAGACGAUCAGAUACCGUCGUAGUCUUAACCAUAAACUAUAGCCGACUAGGGAUCGGAUGAUGUUAAUUUUUAUGUACUUCAUUCGGCGCCGU